rnacentral:rRNA from 14 species
UUGAAGAGUUUGAUCAUGGCUCAGAUUGAACGCUGGCGGUAUGCUUAACACAUGCAAGUCGAACGGAAACGAUACUAGCUUGCUAGUAGGCGUCGAGUGGCGGACGGGUGAGUAACGCGUAGGAAUCUACCCAGUAGUGGGGGACAACUAGUGGAAACGCUAGCUAAUACCGCAUACGCCCUAAGGGGGAAAGCGGGGGAUCUUCGGACCUCGUGCUAUUGGAUGAGCCUGCGUAAGAUUAGCUUGUUGGUGAGGUAAUGGCUCACCAAGGCUACGAUCUUUAGCUGGUCUGAGAGGAUGAUCAGCCACACCGGGACUGAGACACGGCCCGGACUCCUACGGGAGGCAGCAGUCGGGAAUAUUGCGCAAUGGGGGAAACCCUGACGCAGCAACGCCGCGUGAAGGAUGAAGGCUUUCGGGUUGUAAACUUCUUUUA